CUUAGCUCUUCAAAUCAACUUCACUAAUACACUCAAGAGCACCAAAGGAAGGAAUUUCAUGGAGUAGAUUCUAGUUUAAGGACUUGAGUUGGGUGAUUUGAGCUUGUUGGAAGCUUAAACUUGGAAGAGUUUUUCUUUCUUCUUUGAUGAGAGGUUCGGCCAACACAAGGGAAGAAAAUGGUGAAUUUUGUGAAUUUUUGGAGAUAUUUAACCAAUUUUGGUCAAAGGUCAAAUAGUGAAUAGUAACUCUUAAAGUCAAACCAAUGGAAAAUUGACACUUGGCACUCUAAUAAAUGCAUUCCUAUCCUUUCUUUUCUCUCUCACAUCAAUCAAAUCUCACUCUCUACUUAUCUCGUAACAUCCGAUAACUUUUCCACAGUAUCCGAAACUUAACCGUAUUGGCCGAAUUUUCCCGAACUUUUCGCACUUGUGGGUCCCACGUCCAAUAUAUAUUCUUAAUUUUCUAAAAACUAUCCAAUACGAGAAAACUCAUCUUAAAACUAAAAUUACUCAUAAAAUUCACCAGGAAAAUAUUCCUAAGCCAGAAAAUGCAGAAAACAUGCAAUUAAGGGGAAAUAAACCCUAGGAAAAAUAUUAGGGUUUUACGGGUUCUCACACUCUCCCCCCCUUAAAAGAAUUUCGUCCUCGAAAUUCCUUAUCAGCGGAAUCCCUCAAAUCUAAGGUACCCAACGGAUCAAGCAAAUGACUAGCCCAAAUUGCCUACCUAGGCUCUCAUCUCUUCCGUAUCCGGGCACAAGAAUCCCAUCUAAGAUAAUUCACAACUCGAGCCGGCCGGUCCCAAGAGUAAACCAUCCUUAUUAAAGAUUCCUACCCGACAUACAUACCUAGUUUCCUCGAGUCCCAUGAUAAUGAUUCGCACACUUAUCACAUGCCCGGUUCAUAACUUACGCUCAAACGAGCACUUAAACGCAUUCAUGAAAUUAGGACCACAACACCACUUGGCCCAGUCUCACUCCGCGCAGAGACCACGCGAAGUGGCUCUGAUACCACUUGUAACAGCCCCACUUUCCCCUAAGGCGAACCAAAGGGGUUAGCGGACUGCCUGCCCAACUCUCGCCAGGACUACGGAUCAGAUUAGAGCUAUCCGCUUCAACCCGGAACUUACAAACUCGCGUAAACAAAUCAAAACAGUAAAACAACCCAAGAUAAAAUGAGAUGAAAUCCGGAGCCGGCCAUGAAUAGUAACCGACCCGUCAGAACCCAACCGAAAUAGCUAACAAACAUUUUCAUCUGAUCUUUAGCGUUUACAAAUCAAAAUGACAUACAAAAGCUUUCAAAAGAUAAUACAUAUACACGGUUUGCCAAAUCAAAAGAGAAAACGCCCCAAAAGUACACUUAGGGUUUUAAUACAUGAGCUAUACAAAAGAUAUGUUCAACUAGCUCAAGUCGGCAACCGAUUAUCAAAUCCAGUCCAAAAGUAUUUAUUUUUCCUGUAAGGAAAACAAAAGGAACAGAACGGGGUGAGCUUGCGCUCAAUGAGGUACCAAACAGAUAGCAUUAAAAUCAUGGCAUUUCACAUUUAACAAAUCAGAUACACAUGUCAGAUGUAAAGCAAAGGAACCAAUGAUUCAAAUCAGAAGGAUACGGGUGGCUCUCAGGAGCCAAAUUUCCAGCGCAAUACUUGAUCCAAACCGGUUGACUCUCCGUCAACGUAUAUAGAACCAAUGCGUCCGUAGACCCCUCUUAUCACCGAAUUCCGUCCACCAAACACCCCUUUACCGGGCCCGCUCACCUCAAACGAACAAAAAUGGUAAUACUCGAGUAUACCCGGAAUCAAGGGUCUCAAUACCCAAAAUCCCCGAACAGACUACCGUGGUUCGUUAUCUAAUCGUCCAGGCCCUUGCCGGCCCGACUCGAAUAACUUAGCCACAGGAUUGAGCUCAUAGGUCAUAGAAAUCCGAACAGAAAUCCGAACAGAUGCAGACACAGAUAACAGAUUCAAAUUUUGCAUAGUAAAUUGGCAUAUGAGCAGACUAGAGAACGAGUGUGAUAAAGUACACCCUCUGUCUCGAACAAAUAAACAGAUUGCAGAGCAGAAAUCAAGUUAAAUAGCAAUGGAGGGGAGUGGUACACUCACCGGCUCAACUUCAAAAGUUUUCACUUCAGAUUGGCCUUAAUCGCCAAGAAACCCUAAAAUAAUCAAAAUAAAUCAAUUGAAGGUUUUACUUCCAGAAUCGAGUAAACACAAUGCACAUGAGGCUCGACUACUAGUCGUAUGCCUCGCCAAAAUAAUUACUAAUGCAAGGGUGGAAAACAUGAUUUUCUUGGAAACAAAAAGCUAACAUGAAGACUUAGGCGCAAACAACCCAAAAGCCUUUCAUUCUACCAAAAGGCAAAUCCAACUUAAAGGAACCAACGGCCUAGAAAAUUGGGCAGCACUUCCCCUGAAAUUCUUACUUUUCCAGCCAUUAAGGCUUCAUUAUUUUUCUUCAAUCACAACCCAACAACACACAGAUAAGCAUUUCAUGUCAAGAGCCGUUCCAUAGGCUCACAAUAUCAUAAAACAAGAAACCAUACCGAGCCAUAAACAACACCAAUUCACAACCCCAAUAGGGUUUUAUAAACAUAUACAAGCAUGAAAGCAAACCAGAAAUUAAGAAAGGGCUUUAACCUAAGCCUUGAUAAGAAAACCGGAUUUGACCUCAUAAUGCGGUAAUGGCACAACUCUCACUACAAAUAUCGGAUGGGGGUGUAAGACCCACCAUUUCGAAGCCAAGAAACAGAGCUACAACAAUGUAGAAGGCCUCUCAGUCCAAAUCCUAGCACAACUAGGUCAAAAGUGCCAAAUACCAAACCAGAAUUACCAAAACAGGUUUGCAAAACACACAAAACUGUAAUACGUCAAUCUCAGCCUACACAGGUCCAAAUGCCGAAAUUCCAAAGGCAUAAGUUAGCUAAAACAUCCAGCUACAUUUACUCAAAAGACACCAACUUCAAAAUCCAAACCAAUUCCAGUCAAAACAGGCAAUUACUAUCGCAGUUCGGACAUUCUGUGCACCAAAAACAGCAACAGUAAAAACGGCAUAACUCUCUCUAUACUACUCCAAAUGCCCUGAAAUUUUGCAGGCACUUCAAAAUCAUCAAUACCUACAACUUUCAUGUUUUGAGCAAAGUCCAAUUCGGCCUCUAGCUAUGACCUAAAAUUUCGGACAGAAUAGGGGUUCAUGAACCCUAACUUUUCACAUUUCAUUCCAAAUCCAAAAUUGGUUGCAUUUAACCACAAUUCACACCUACUAGAGCCAAAGCCCCUUAUUACCAACCAUCAUACUAGUCCAAAACAUCAAAAUCAUAUGAAACCAGAAAAUUCAUCAUAAAAUGGAAAACUUCACCAAAACUCUUCAAAUCAAGAAAUAAAUCACAUUUUCCAACACUCAAGCCACUUCUAAGCAUAAUAUAACCAUCAUUAGAUGUAGUAGGGUGUUCAAGCAUCACUUACCAAGCAAUCAAGAGAGAUAGGGAGUGUGGACACCUUAGCUCUUCAAAUCAACUUCACUAAUACACUCAAGAGCACCAAAGGAAGGAAUUUCAUGGAGUAGAUUCUAGUUUAAGGACUUGAGUUGGGUGAUUUGAGCUUGUUGGAAGCUUAAACUUGGAAGAGUUUUUCUUUCUUCUUUGAUGAGAGGUUCGGCCAACACAAGGGAAGAAAAUGGUGAAUUUUGUGAAUUUUUGGAGAUAUUUAACCAAUUUUGGUCAAAGGUCAAAAUAGUGAAUAGUAACUCUUAAAGUCAAACCAAUGGAAAAUUGACACUUGGCACUCUAAUAAAUGCAUUCCUAUCCUUUCUUUUCUCUCUCACAUCAAUCAAAUCUCACUCUCUACUUAUCUCGUAACAUCCGAUAACUUUUCCACAGUAUCCGAAACUUAACCGUAUUGGCCGAAUUUUCCCGAACUUUUCGCACUCGUGGGUCCCACGUCCAAUAUAUAUUCUUAAUUUUCUAAAAACUAUCCAAUACGAGAAAACUCAUCUUAAAACUAUAAUUACUCAUAAAAUUCACCAGGAAAAUAUUCCUAAGCCAGAAAAUGCAGAAAACAUGCAAUUAAGGGGAAAUAAACCCUAGG
rnacentral:lncRNA from 1 species